CUUCCGCUCUCUCUCUCUCUCUCCCCCCCACCAUCCCUGUUAGUGUGUUGGACCUGUGUAGUCGUCCAAGCUGAGAUGCUACAUCCCUUGUUGAACAAAUGUGGCAGUGGCAGCCAUAGGAUAGAGCUACCAACUUCCUGCCUUGCCCUUGAAACCAAAGGGUUGUGUUGCAGGCAGAGCCUCUGAUCUGCUCACUGUGGAGUUGACAGUUGUGCCGCAGGGUGACUAAGGAGCAUGUGGAGCAUGUGACCUGCAGGGGGCAGCAAACACCUGCAAGGAACUAAGACUGACAUCAGGCUGGUCGGGAUGAGUGGAUAAGAUCCUGUUUCAGUCCACCUGCUGGGCUGCUGAUAUUCAUCAGUACACCUCUAAGUGUCAGCCAUGUCAGCUUCAAUCAAGUUGGAGCUGUAUAUAGAAGUCGUGGUAUAAAUUUUGCUGGAAAAUGUCCUGAAGACAUCACCUACAUUUAACAUUUACAGGAAAUAAUCAUAAGGCUGACAUGAUUUAUACUGGAAUAAUCUGUGGUCUUUAUUUGAAUUAAGUUUGCUCUAAAUCCUGUACAAAUGUUAAAAUAAAACUUGAUGUUGCAGCACCUCA